rnacentral:rRNA from 1 species
GAUGAACGCUGGCGGCGUGCCUAAUACAUGCAAGUCGAGCGAACGGACGAGAAGCUUGCUUCUCUGAUGUUAGCGGCGGACGGGUGAGUAACACGUGGAUAACCUACCUAUAAGACUGGGAUACUUCGGGAAACCGGAGCUAAUACCGGAUAAUAUUUUGAACCGCAUGGUUCAAAAGUGAAAGACGGUCUUGCUGUCACUUACAGAUGGAUCCGCGCUGCAUUAGCUAGUUGGUAAGGUAACGGCUUACCAAGGCAACGAUGCAUAGCCGACCUGAGAGGGUGAUCGGCCACACUGGAACUGAGACACGGUCCAGACUCCUACGGGAGGCAGCAGUAGGGAAUCUUCCGCAAUGGGCGAAAGCCUGACGGAGCAACGCCGCGUGAGUGAUGAAGGUCUUCGGAUCGUAAAACUCUGUUAUUAGGGAAGAACAUAUGUGUAAGUAACUGUGCACAUCUUGACGGUACCUAAUCAGAAAGCCACGGCUAACUACGUG